rnacentral:rRNA from 1 species
GGUGUGAUUCAUGACUGGGGUGAAGUCGUAACAAGGUAGCCGUAGGGGAACCUGCGGCUGGAUCACCUCCUUAAUCGAAGACA